rnacentral:rRNA from 1 species
CUAAGUUUGAUGGCGACCGGCGCACGGGUGAGUAACACGUAUCCAACCUGCCGAUGACUCGGGGAUAGCCUUUCGAAAGAAAGAUUAAUACCCGAUGGCAUAGUUCUUCCGCAUGGUGGAACUAUUAAAGAAUUUCGGUUAUCGAUGGGGAUGCGUUCCAUUAGUUUGUUGGCGGGGUAACGGCCCACCAAGACUACGAUGGAUAGGGGUUCUGAGAGGAAGGUCCCCCCACAUUGGAACUGAGACACGGUCCAAACUCCUACGGGAGGCAGCAUG